rfam:Schistosoma rodhaini strain Burundi genome assembly, scaffold: SROB_scaffold0000367
AUCCAACUGACAAGUCCCAAAUAGAACGAAACGUGCUUCCUUGUUUUUAGGAU